ACUGCUCAAUUUCCUUAGUUAAUCUUCGUGCACUGACCACUGGGUGUUGUUGAUGGCGCAGAUUGUGGCGAGCUUGAGCGUAUGGAGCAGAGGGACCAGGGCAGGGGGGCGGCCGUCCCGGGCACCCGAUGCCUUGUUUCCUCUAUACGUACUUGAUGGUUAGCCCAUGUAGCAGAUCGACUGAUUCUGAAAAAGGAAAAAUGGUAACAGAUCGACUAAUUCUUGGCUUGCUGCAUGCGCGUGAUCUUCUCUGGUUUCUCUUCCCCAAUUGGCAAAAAACCAGCCAUGCCAAGGUCAACGGCACCUUGUCCACGCCGUCUAAUUGCGAUUUUCAGCUGUUGGGUGUGAUUAGUGCAGGAAGAUCCGUUGCUGCUACAGAACCCAACUCCUGAGCACGUCGGAGUUGAGCAAGAAGACGGGAGGAGGUGUCGAGGAGGAAGAGUCCCCUCUUCCUUUUUGGUCCACGCCGCUGUGAAAGUGAUAUUAGGGUACGACAAACUUGUCGACAUGUUCAGUAACAAGCAAGUCUCCACUGUUGGCGUCGAUCUUGGAAUAGAAAGAGUUUUCACAAUCAUUGAGCAACAGGAGAAAGAAAAUAACCAGGUUAUCCGGGCUAGCGUGACAGAGGUUUUAGUGUCGAUUCUAGGGAAGGACCUUAUAUUGGCCGCCGAGCUUGCGAAUGAGUUAUGGAGUGCUGGGAUAAAGGCAGAGUUCAAGCUCACCACCAGGGAGCUGGACCACAUAAAGUAUGUAACUCAGACAGGCAUUCCGUGGAUGGUGCUGG